UAUAGACAUCGGUCGACUUUGGCCACGAUGUAAAAGCUUGUAUUAACAUCGGCUAAAAAUUAACCGAUGUCUAUUACAUUUUUGACAUCAGUUAAUAUAAGAACCGAUGUCUAUCUUCUUUGAAUUAAAAACAAAAAGCGCGCGGCAACCAUGUCUUUCCCCCCUCCCCCAAAUAUUUCCUGUAUAUUUCCGCCCUUAGUCAAAUUUUCGUUCCCCCCAAUUCUUUUAACCCCAAAAUCAAACAAAAUAAACACCACAAUAUUCCCCCUUUCAAACCUUCAGUCCCCAAAUUUCUUUAACCCCAAAAAUCAGAAAAACAUAAUUCUCUCUCCCUCAAUCUCUCUCUCAAUAUCUCUCUCCCCAAAAUAAACUGACGAGACUAAUCACAAAUCUCAAACCCUACAAUCGGCCCCCAAACAGCUACACUUACCAACUCAUCUCUAUACUUCCACCUCCAUUACUCAAUCACUCUCCCCCUCCGAACCCUAACUGUGAUUUUUGCAAACUCAUUCUUGGUGGUAAAUCAGUUCUUCGGGCAGAUCCGGGGCGGAAGAGAAAUGGGUUUGGGGGUAUGAGGAGAAUGGGAAUGGGUUUGUUUUUGUUAAGGGGUUUUCGGGUGAUGAUUUGGCUAUUUGUGAGGCCAAGUCUUUUAAUUGCUAUUCGAACUGCUCUCAAAAACCUCUAAGACAAGCUGGAGUUUCUCCAUAGAUUUAGUUGUAUAUUGAUGAAUUUUAACUCACUGGAAAAUUGAGAAUGAGUGCAGGAGAAGUGAACCCAAAGGCAUACCCGUUAGCUGAUUCACAGAGUGCUUGUAUUGUUUCAAGGCAAAGAACAAGAAGGGUUCUUUUUUAGCUGCUCGUUUUGGUGGUCUUUGGAAUACAUAGUGGAGAAUCUUCAUGGCAUUUACACUUCACCGACGCUGGACUCGGAACAUAAAAAGCGAUUGAAAAUGCUAAAACUUCUAUAAACCCGAGGAUAUUGAAAUAGAAACAGAGUGCAGUAUGUGGAAGCUGGAUUCUAAAUCUACUGAUCUGUUAUCUGAAUAUCUGGUACCAACUUGUAGUUUGAUGGUUAAAAUAGAAAUUAUUCUCAUGUAACAUAAUUAGUGAAUUCAAAUUAAUAUAGACUCAGUAUGUGUUGUUCUUUAACAAUCAAUGCUAAGUAUUGACACUUCAACUUGCGAUACCAGUUUAUUAAUCCUUGUGGUACCAAUUUAUGUUCUUUUUUCUUUUCUUUAUUGUCUUUUGGUGCACAAAAAAUAUAGCAACCAAGACUGUGGUGCAGAUCAGAAGUCAUGCACAUAUAUUCUGUACAAAGGUCAAUCGGUACCUUCUCAUCUAAUUCUUGUCUUAAUAUAUUUUGUCUUCACAGUUGCUACCCCUCUUUCCACAUGCCUACAUUGGUAACUUUCUCUAGUUAUUUUAGCUUCUAUUUCAGUUUUGCCUACUGCGUGUUGCGCUGUAUAGACAUAUACUUAUGUACUAGUUCUAGCAUAUGCUGUGAAUAGGACCGUUAGUAUGCUUGUACAAGUCAGUAGUUUACAAUUUGACCUAUGUACCAAUAAUUUCCCUCUUACAGUGUUAUUGUUUGUUUUUUGUUUUUGCUAAGUUACAGUCUUGCAAUCUGAACUGUUGCUAUCUUACAUUUAUUAUCCUUACUGUCCUUUCAUAAAGAGUUAAUAGUUUUUGAAGAAAAAAGUACCAUAAUAAAUCAUAAGCAUAAUAAACAGGGGUGGAUAAUUAUAAGCAUAAUCAUAAGUUAAUAGUUUAAUUUCCAGGAAGUGAUUGUAGAAAAUUUAGUAGUAUUCCUCAAUGGCAUGUAUAUCCAGUUAUA